rnacentral:sRNA from 1 species
UGGAGUUGCACAUACAGCUUCUUUAUGAAAGGAAGAAACUGGAAGACAACAAAGAGACACCGCCAGCCACAUAAAUGGCCAUUGCAACUGCCAUUGAAAAUCCAACAUUGAUAGUGAUGACCCCUCCAAAACGUCCUCGACUGAGAAUAGCUUGGGCAACAGUGCCGCAUCCAAGGACCUGGAAUGAGAGGAAAACUCAACAAAUGCUGAAAUGGCUUUUCUUAGGAGGGUAAUCAAUGCUGUGUGCUGCAGGAAAUAGGAGGAGUGAUGAGCAAUGUGGGGACUUCAGUUACCCUCAUCAGAAUCGCCGCUCAGAAGAUUGGAGCCCAGAUGUCCAGCAUUACAUCUUAAUUUAGAAAUGUAUUUAUUGUAGCCUGAAAAGCAACGAGGAAGCCAGGCUGCAUCUUGGGGCUUCUCUGAGGACUCCUGUUUCCACCAAUAUCUACCUGUUGUGGUCCUCACUUUCACAGCCACAUGAAAAUGGACGUUUUGACAAUGGCUCACAGAUUCCUGGAGAUGUCUG